UGCUUUUGCUAUCUUCUGCUUGCCAUGAACUGGUUCUCUUCUGCCAUGCCACCCUGCCUUGGAGCUAGCCGAUUAUGGACUGAAACCUCUACAAACUGUGAGCUAAAUAAACCUUUCCUCCUUUAACUUUAGGUGUUGGGUAUUUUGCCUCAGAAAUGAGAAAAGGAGCUAAGACAUUGGUCCAGGUCAGCCACUCUUGGGUUGCAUCUGCCCCCACUGAACCACAGUCUUAUGACAGGCUGCUGUUGUCAUGCUUGCUGCUUGUAAACAACUUAGGUAUGGUUAAAUUACCUACUGAUUGCUAACUUUCUACCAGUGUAGAAACCCCCGGUAUGCCUCCACCCUAGGAUGGUCCCAAACCCUUGUCUUUAGAAAUCUCUUCCUUGUUCUUUAAUGUUCUGUGCCCUAAUCUCCUGCCACAUCCUAGCUAGAGGCUCUCACCUCAACUUUGGACUUCUCUUCUAAGUCCAUAUCCAAGAUAUUGUGCAAACCUUUCUAUUAAUGUUCAACCAACACUCAUGAGCACCUUCUGUGUAAAAGACAUCCAUCUAUGGAGACUCAAUAAACGAUAAACAAGCAUUGUCAACCAGAACUGGGAUCUACCUUUGGCUUCCAUCCCCAGAAGCAAAUCUCAUAAGAAGUGAGCACCAUUGUUCACAAGGAGGGCUUUGCAGGAGGUGGAGGAUGCUCAUAAGAGUGUGGAAAAUAAGCAAAGAUGAGCAACAUCUUUGUGGGAUGAUGCUAGCACACGUCUGCUCAGAGACAGAGUCUCCUCCUGGGAGCUCUGGGAGGAACAAAUUCACCUCUCCUUGGGACUUGUGGAUGGAGAAAUGCAGAAAAGGACAGGGUUUUGAGACACAGACAUCUACCUGGCAAGGCAGGGUCCUCCCUACAAGGCUGAUGACGACAGCAAGAUGCAAGGUAUGUUUUCCAAACCACCAAAGACAUCGCCUAAAUAUCUGAAUGCACCCAUAUGUUAAAAACUGGCCAGUGACACUGCUAAUGGCUGAGAGAAGCUUGGGAAACAAGGAAAAGGCAUCAGAAAUCUUGCACAUUGAACAGUGCAGAUCUGUGACC
ensembl:lincRNA